UGUAGUGCAGUAAGGAGAAGAUCUGUCCAAGGUGUCUCGCUUUCAGGAGCGACGAUCCGAGGCGGCUCUAUCUCUCCGGGAGGACGGCUGCCUCGCAUACGUUUCCAUGCUUCUUGGAAAGCUAUGUCACGACAACGUAUAGUAGCAGCUGGCUGUCAUGGAUUAAACGUGAUUCAGUUUCUGCAAGCUGUUGAAAAGAGAGCAGUCGUUUCCCCAAAAUAUUAUGCUGAAAUUCUACAACCACGGCAACUCUCUGCAAAAAGAAAAAAAAAGAUAUGUCGCCCCACACGACCGACAGAGGGCAGGCGGACCAGACGCAUGGGCUGUCCCCAAGACCUCGCGACGCCUCGAUGGUGGUGAUCACUCAGCAAGUCGUCGGCUCCAG